rnacentral:tRNA from 1 species
GGGGCUGUGGCUCAGUGGUGGAGCACUUGCCUCGAAAGCGUGAGGCACUGGGUUUGAUCCUCAGCACCA